rnacentral:lncRNA from 1 species
CCCAGUCAGAAAAAAGUAUUUAUGCAAAGGCUCUAUAGAUUUUAAGUGUUUUAAGAGUUUUGUUGGCUAGUUUAUUUAUUUACUUCACACAAUGUGAAAAAGCUCUCUGGCUACUUGGGCAAUGGAUUGUGGUGGUGUGAGACUGGAAGCUAGUGGGCUUAGCAGAGAUUGUUCUUUUGUCCAGGUGACUUGAUGGUGGCUUGUAGCUGGCAGUUGUCAAGAUGGAAAGACAUGGACAGAUUUACAACAUAUUUUAGAGAAGAUAUCAACAGAACUGGUAGCUUAGGAAGCACCAGGUUAUAUAUACAUGGAAAACAUCCUAAGAACUAGUCUUGAAAGCAAAGAAAGAAACAUGAUCAGAAUGGGAAUAAGCCUUGAAAAGAUGAAACAGGACUUCUGCCAAGAGAGGAGUAUUGUACCUAUGACAAGAAUAAAAAUGAGAUUGGCUUUUUGUUAAGAUUCCCAACUUUGGGCUGAAAAUGUAAAGUUACAGGAACAUCUGGAGAGGGAAAAAAAGUGGCUUUGGAAAGCUGUUCAACUCGCAAAACACUGAGGCUGAGCAAACAUUCCAGCUUUCCCUCGCUGGCCAUCACUCACACCCAAUGUAUUUAUUCUUUUUCUCCGACAAGAGAGCAACAUUUGGAAUAGCUCAAGCUGCUGAGUUAAUCAUCGAGACGCCGUGGGGAUGUUUUAAGCCAUGGGCCUACUCUCCUCGUAUGAUUUGGAAUCAACACAACCACCAGGCUGAGGGCCACUUUAAAGAGAAGCCUAGCCAUGGCAGCAGAGAUUGGGUAUGA